UACGUAGGGUGCGAGCGUUGUCCGGAAUUACUGGGCGUAAAGAGCUCGUAGGUGGUUUGUCGCGUUGUUCGUGAAAACUCACAGCUCAACUGUGGGCGUGCGGGCGAUACGGGCAGACUUGAGUACUGCAGGGGAGAAUGGAAUUCCCGGUGUAGCGGUGAAAUGCGCAGAUAUCGGGAGGAACACCGGUGGCGAAGGCGGUUCUCUGGGCCUGACCUGACGCUGAGGAGCGAAAGCGUGGGGAGCGAACAGG
rnacentral:rRNA from 1 species